ensembl:lncRNA
CAGAUGGUACUCAGCAGUCUCUCAGCGAAGUCAUCUCACUUAGCCUAAUGCCCUCGAGGUCCAGCCGUGUGGUCGCAGGUGUCAGAGUUGCCUUUGUUUCUAAGACUGAGUCAUAUUCCAUCAUGUGGACGCACCACGCUGUGUGUAUCCACUCAUUCACCAGCAGACACUAGAGCUGCUUCUGCCUUUCAGCUGUUGUGAUUACAGCUACUAUGAACGUGGGUGUACGGGUAUUGUUUGGAGACCCUCCUUUUAAUUCCUCUGGGUAUAUAUUUUGAAGCUCCAGUGCUUUGGCCACCUGCUGUGAAGAGCCGACUCAUUGGGAAAGACCCUGAUGCUGGGAAAGACUGAGGGCAGGAGGAGAAGGGGUCGGCAGAGGAUGAGAUGGUUGGAUGGCAUCACCGACUCAAUGGACGUGAGUUUGAGCAAGCUCUAGGAGUUAGUGAUGGACAGGGAGGCCUGGCGUGCUGCAGUCCACGGGGUCGCAAAGAGCUGGACACGACUGAGCGACUGAACAACAGAUAUACCCAGAAGUGGAGUUGCUAGAUCAAAGGGUGUGUCGUCAGCCCCAAGGAAGAGGCCUUCAGCCUGAGACCAAGAGGGUCCAGGGGCGAGUUCCCCCGGGUAGGAGCGAAGUUUUUUAAAAGUUUCACUGGACUCCCUGCCUAACUGAAAAAAAUCUCAUUAAAGCUUGCGGGAUCUUGGUUCCCCAGUGAGGAAUUGAACCUGGGCCCCCUGCAGUGAAAGCGCUGAGUGCUAACCACCAGACCACCAAGACAGUCCCAAGAACUUCUCCUUUGAAAGACUCAAAAUAUGGAGCGCUUCAUGCAUUUGCUUGAGCCUGGGCCAUGUUAAUCUUAUCUGGAUCGGUCCAGUUUUAGUAUAUGUGCAGCUGAAGUGAGCACGGUAAUUUUAAAUGGAAGCCUAGUCGAUUUACAGCAUUGUGGUAGCUUCUGGUAUAUAGCAAAGUGGUGCAGCUAUACCGUCGUUUGUAUAUAUCUGUAUUCUUUCUACACUUUUCCCAUUAUGGUUUAUUGCAAGAUACUGAAUGUAGUUUCCUGUGCUGUACAGGAAAUCUUUGUUGUUUAUUUUAUACACAUGGUGCGUGUGUAUAUUAAUCCCAAACUCCUAAUCUCUCUCUCCCCUCAUAAUUUUUAUACAAUGAUAUGUGCCCAUCAUUUCUCAGGACACCUGGAAAAAUAAUUUAAAACAGUAAUAAAAAAAAUAGAGAUAGGUUUACUGUUCAGCCAUUUAAGAAAUGAAAAAAUGCCAUUUGCACCAGCGUGGACGGACCUAGAGAUGAUCAUAGGAAGUGAAGUGCGUCGUAAAGAGAAAAACAAGUACCCUGGGAUAUCAGUGAUAGGAGGAAUCUAAAAUAUGACAGAAAUGAACUUAUCUGUGAAGCAUAAACAGACUCAGACGUAGAGAACAGACUCAUGAUGGCCAAGGGGUGGGGGUGGGAAGGAUUGGGAGUUUUGGGGUCAGCAGAUGUCGGCUAUUAUAUACAGGAUGGAUAAACAGCAAGGCCCUACUGUGGGGCACAGGAAACUCGGUUCAAUAUCCUGUGAUAAACCAUCAUGGAAAAGAAUCCGAAAAAGAAUGUGGAUGUGUGUGUGUGUGUAACCGAAUCACUGCUGGAUACCUGAGACCAACGCAGCACCGAAUCAACCGCACUGCGAUGAAAGCCGUACAAAUGGAGGCAGUUUUCCUUCACCCUUGGGAAUGCCCCGAGCGAGACUGUUCUAAGCGGAUCCCCUGUGCCCUCUAGACUGGGAGGGCUUCGCAGGCGGCGCUAGCGGUAAAGAGCCCACCUGCCAACGCAGGAGGCAGAUGCAGGCUCGACCCCUGGGUCGGGAAGACCCCCUGGAGGAGGGCGCGGCAGCCCACUCCCGGGUCAUUGCCUGGACAGGGCCGGACAGGACUGAGUGGCUUGGCGCGCACGCACCAGGCUGAGCAAAGGCCCUGCGGCAGGGCCGCGGGCGGCGGUUCCGGGAGCAGCAGGAAGGCCCCCGGGCGGGAGCGCGGCGGGCGGUGGGGGGGCCUGUGCGCCAAGGCCGGCGGGUCUCUGCAGGGGCUGACGUCAGAUCCGUGUCUACACAGGAGCCCCCCGGCCGUGCGGCGCCGAGGACGCGGUGGGCAGAAGCCAGAGGUCGCGGGCUGGGCCUCCUGCGCCCCCCGCGGUCCCGGAGGAAGAGGCGGGUGUGAACCAAAGCCUCCGAAGAAAGGGGUCCCAGGAAGCCACGCCGCGGCCCUCAACCGGGCGACUGUGCCCCCGGGAAACGUUGGGCAAUACC